GGGCACACUUGGGCAUGCUUUGAACUCAUGAUGUGAAUGGUACUAGAGUGAAAUUGGAGUAGGAGACGAGGCAACGCUCCAAUUUUUUUUUAAAUCCGCUCUGCGUUCAAUCCAAAAUCCUUCAUCGAUUCAUCGAUUGCAGAUCCAUCAGCGGUACAGAUGUAGACGGACCUUGUGCGCCUGGUGCAGCAGCUCCAUCCUCUCCUGGAGGAUCUGGCAGUCGUACUCUCGACUCUUCCUCAGCAUCUGCCUCCUCAGCUUCUCCACCGCCGUCCGCAGCUCGUCCUUCUGAAGCUCAUCCAGAGGCUCGCCGUACUUUAUCACCUGGAGGAAGAGGACAGGCAUCAGAAACAGUAGAUAUACCAUAAUGGAUUUAAGGAAACACUUAUCUCUGGUCCUACUGUUCUUAUGUGAACACUUCUAACGUCAGCUUCAAGGAAAUAAGAUUCCUGGAAGAUUUCUAGAAGCCUUAUAGGAACGUUAUGUUUCCUGGAAGCCCUUAUUUUCUUAAUUUGCAUUCAUUAUUGCAACAUCUAUCAGAUGGACCAAAUUAUAUACUUAUAAAGGUUAAACUCCAACUUUUACAUUUUAUAUACACUUCAUACUAUCCUUUCGCAGAGUAAAUAUUGCACCUUUAUUUUUACCUAAGCUAUUAUACCUUGGAGUGGAACAUUUUUAUUUUUUUCCAUUGUCAUCAUUUUUGAUGGGUUUGUUUAUAUGUGCAUAUAUAUUUUGGAGUGGGGGAUAUUUAUCCCCCUUUACUGUUGUUUUGUUUUAUCUUGUUUAACACUUGAAUAUAACACUAUAUACAGCUGGAAAAAAUAAAGUAAUUGUUGAUGUAACUAAAUAAAAGAUAAGUUCAAAUAAAAGAAUUGCAAAGUCUCUAUAAUCAUGAGUCAAAUAAUUUGCAAUUAGCUAUGUAAAGUAGUCAUGUGGACUCCAUGUUGAUAGCACAGAUGUUCCAGAUUAGUGGGAUGUGCAUGGGUGCAUGUCAAAUUAAUGAUAUUAUUUUUGUGACGCAUUUCUUUAAGAUUUAAAUUGAUGUCUGAUCUGAUGAACCUCACCCCUCUAGUAUUUCAGAUGA